rfam:Oryza glaberrima chromosome 12 Oglab12_0317_1, whole genome shotgun sequence.
AAUAAGUGCAGUUUUGCACUGUUCAUGUCCAAAGUUUGACCGUUCGUCUUAUUUGAGUUUUUUUUUAGAUUAGUAUUUUAUUGCUAUUAGAUGAUAAAACAUGAAUAGUACUUUAUGUGUGAGUAUUUUUUUUCUAAUUUUUCCAUUAAAUUUUAAAAUAAGACGAAUGGUCAAAUAUGUUGGACACAGAUAUCCACAGCUGCGUUUAUU